AUGAACGCUGGCGGCGUGCCUAAUACAUGCAAGUCGAACGAGUUCUCGUUGAUGAUCGGUGCUUGCACCGAGAUUCAACAUGGAACGAGUGGCGGACGGGUGAGUAACACGUGGGUAACCUGCCCUUAAGUGGGGGAUAACAUUUGGAAACAGAUGCUAAUACCGCAUAGAUCCAAGAACCGCAUGGUUCUUGGCUGAAAGAUGGCGUAAGCUAUCGCUUUUGGAUGGACCCGCGGCGUAUUAGCUAGUUGGUGAGGUAAUGGCUCACCAAGGCGAUGAUACGUAGCCGAACUGAGAGGUUGAUCGGCCACAUUGGGACUGAGACACGGCCCAAACUCCUACGGGAGGCAGCAGUAGGGAAUCUUCCUCAAUGGACGCAAGUCUGAUGGAGCAACGCCGCGUGAGUGAAGAAGGCUUUCGGGUCGUAAAACUCUGUUGUUGGAGAAGAAUGGUCGGCAGAGUAACUGUUGUCGGCGUGACGGUAUCCAACCAGAAAGCCACGGCUAACUACGUGCCAGCAGCCGCGGUAAUACGUAGGUGGCAAGCGUUAUCCGGAUUUAUUGGGCGUAAAGCGAGCGCAGGCGGUUUUUUAAGUCUGAUGUGAAAGCCCUCGGCUUAACCGAGGAAGCGCAUCGGAAACUGGGAAACUUGAGUGCAGAAGAGGACAGUGGAACUCCAUGUGUAGCGGUGAAAUGCGUAGAUAUAUGGAAGAACACCAGUGGCGAAGGCGGCUGUCUGGUCUGUAACUGACGCUGAGGCUCGAAAGCAUGGGUAGCGAACAGGAUUAGAUACCCUGGUAGUCCAUGCCGUAAACGAUGAAUGCUAGGUGUUGGAGGGUUUCCGCCCUUCAGUGCCGCAGCUAACGCAUUAAGCAUUCCGCCUGGGGAGUACGACCGCAAGGUUGAAACUCAAAGGAAUUGACGGGGGCCCGCACAAGCGGUGGAGCAUGUGGUUUAAUUCGAAGCAACGCGAAGAACCUUACCAGGUCUUGACAUCUUUUGAUCACCUGAGAGAUCAGGUUUCCCCUUCGGGGGCAAAAUGACAGGUGGUGCAUGGUUGUCGUCAGCUCGUGUCGUGAGAUGUUGGGUUAAGUCCCGCAACGAGCGCAACCCUUAUGACUAGUUGCCAGCAUUUAGUUGGGCACUCUAGUAAGACUGCCGGUGACAAACCGGAGGAAGGUGGGGAUGACGUCAAAUCAUCAUGCCCCUUAUGACCUGGGCUACACACGUGCUACAAUGGAUGGUACAACGAGUUGCGAGACCGCGAGGUCAAGCUAAUCUCUUAAAGCCAUUCUCAGUUCGGACUGUAGGCUGCAACUCGCCUACACGAAGUCGGAAUCGCUAGUAAUCGCGGAUCAGCACGCCGCGGUGAAUACGUUCCCGGGCCUUGUACACACCGCCCGUCACACCAUGAGAGUUUGUAACACCCGAAGCCGGUGGCGUAACCCUUUUAGGGAGCGAGCCGUCUAAGGUGGGACAAAUGAUUAGGGUG
rnacentral:rRNA from 1 species